rnacentral:rRNA from 1 species
GACGAACGCUGGCGGCGUGCUUAACACAUGCAAGUCGAACGGAAAGGCCCUGCUUUUGUGGGGUGCUCGAGUGGCGAACGGGUGAGUAACACGUGAGUAACCUGCCCUUGACUUUGGGAUAACUUCAGGAAACUGGGGCUAAUACCGGAUAGGAGCUCCUGCUUCAUGGUGGGGGUUGGAAAGUUUCGGCGGUUGGGGAUGGACUCGCGGCUUAUCAGCUUGUUGGUGGGGUAGUGGCUUACCAAGGCUUUGACGGGUAGCCGGCCUGAGAGGGUGACCGGCCACAUUGGGACUGGGAUACGGCCCAGACUCCUACGGGAGGCAGCAGUGGGGAAUAUUGCACAAUGGGCGGAAGCCUGAUGCAGCAACGCCGCGUGCGGGAUGACGGCCUUCGGGUUGUAAACCGCUUUCGCCUGUGACGAAGCGUGAGUGACGGUAAUGGGUAAAGAAGCACCGGCUAACUACGUGC